GUGAAUCAUCGAAUUUUUGAACGCAUAUUGCACUAUCUGGUAUUCCGGGGAGCAUGCCUAUUUGAGGGUCAUUUGAAAUAAUAUAAAUUUUAAUAUUUCUCGGCAUUCAAAAUGGGUUGUCCAUUUGUUGUGGUCGCCUAAAAUCUAAGACAUGCUCAUUUUCUUGGGUUGCGUGAUACUUUCAGUUACCUUUAGACUUAACCAGGAAUCAUCGGGUGUUUUAUGAAU
rnacentral:misc_RNA from 1 species